AAUAUGGGUAUCUGAACUUGCUUAUUUUUAUUUUUUUAAGGAUUUUUAUUUUUUCUAUUAGAGUUGAUUUACAGUGUUCUGUCAAUUUCUGCUAUACAGCAAAGUGACCCAGUCAUAUAUAUGUGUGUAUAUAUAGACACAUUCUUUUUCUCACAUUAUCCUCUAUCAUGUUCCAUCACAGGUGACUAAAUACAGUUCCCUGUGCUAUACAGCAGAAUCUCAUUGCUUAUCCACUCCAAAUGCAAUAGUUUGCAUCUACUAACCCCAAACUCCCAGUCCAUCCCACUCCCUCCCCCUCCCACUCCCCUUGGCAACCACAAGUCUGUCUCCAUGUCCAUGAGUUUUUUUUUCUGUAGUUUCGUUUGUGUCGUAUAUUAGAUUCCAGACAUAAGUGAUAUCAUAUGGUAUUUGUCUUUCUCUUUCUGACUUACAUAAAAAGUAUCCAAAUUGGAAGAAAAGAGGUAAAAUUGUCACUCCAUGCAGAUGACAUGAUACUGUAUAUAAAAAACCCUAAGGACUCUACAUAAAAACUACCCAGACUGAUGAAUGAAUUCAGCAAAGUAGCAGGAUACAAGAUUAACAUUUAGAAAUUGGUUGAACUAGCUUAUAUAUCCCAAAGGCAGUUUAAGUAAAACCCACUUGGAGACCACCAAAAUGAAACAUCAUAUAUCUUAUGAAUCAGGUAAUCAAGGAGGAAAGUGGGACUUUCUAAGACACUGUGAAAACAAGCCUCUGGCGCCAUACCUUUUUCUGUACACUUGGAAUUGUUUGGACAUUGUGAAGGCCAUAAAUUAUGACUAUUUUAAAAAAAUGAGUCUAAAUAUGAAUGAAUGUAGACUGUAAAAAAAAAAAAAAAUGUCAGUUUUUUAAAAUGAAACUUACACAUCAAGAAAAUGUUUCAAGAGAAUGAAAAACUGGAAGGAAAUUUAGUAUUUAGAACCUUGAAUUGAAGAGUACUGUAGUGUUGGACCCAACUCAGUUUCAACAUAGAGUUGCCUGAAUAAGAAACUCUAGGAGUUCCCGUUGUGGCUCAGUGGUUAACAAAUCCGACUAGGAACCAUGAGGUUGUGGGUUCGAUCCCUGGCCUUGCUCAGUGGAUUAAGGAUCCAGUGUUGCUGUGAGCUGUGGUGUAGGUCAC
rnacentral:lncRNA from 1 species